AAUUGGUGAUGGGGACAUAAGCUUAUGAGGAGAUUAUAACGUUCUCAGGCUUCAUGAAAUAAUUUACCAUUUUACCAUGUGAAGAAGUAAAUCUUGUCCCUUAAUUU